rnacentral:lncRNA from 1 species
CUUUUUACCUUUUCUAGGGCCUCUCCCAUGGCAUAUGGAGUUCCCAGGCUAGGGGUCUAAUUGGAGCUGUAGCCUCCAGUCUACACCAGAGCCACAGCAAUGCGGGAUCCGAGCCGCGUCUGCAACCUACACCACAGCUCACGGCAACGCCGGAUCCUUAACCCACUGAGCAAGGCCAGGGAUCGAACCUGAAACCUCAUGGUUCCUAGUCAGAUUUGUUAACCACUGUGCAACGGGAACUCCCAACUUCUCUUAUUAUGAUAGCUUAGAUCAAAAGCUUUUGAAGUUCUUUUCUUUAAAGAUUUUCAUACAAAAUUUACCUUUGAGAGUAAGAAUGAAAAAAUUUCAGGAAAUACACAAAUAUUGUGAAUUUAAAUACCUUCCUCCCCAACCCAGGAAACUUCACAAAACUAUAUAACAAAUGAAUUUGAAGUAAUUCAUUAAUUCAUUAGGCAACUAUUUCUUGAGCACCUACUAUGUCUGACACAAAGCAGUGAAUAAGAGGGUCCAGGUUUCUGUUCUCAUAGAUAACACACAACACUAUCUCCUAGUACCAUUAAUGGAAGAUAAGUCAGAUAUAGGCUUAGUAGCUUUGGUUAUAUGUUAAAUGAAGUUCAAAAUAGUCAGCAUUUAAGUUUUCUCUCAUUAAAGAAUUUUUGAAAUAAUAGUUUAUAUCAUUUAGGUCUUUAUAAAUUAUCUUCUUCCAAAAAUGCUGAGAACUGCCAACUAGGCCCAUUUUUGAAAUAAAAAUAAACCAAUAAAAAACCACAAUGACUUGGGGGAAGAAAUCUAUUUUAUAAAAAACGGCACUUUACGUAAGACCAAUAAAAUUAUAUGAAGUGCUUUUAAAAACUAGGUUUUCAAAUGUGCAGGGUACCUCCCAGCUCAGCUGAAAACUCAUCCAGUCUGUAUUUACUUAAUGUCGAGAACAUGGAAGACAGUAUCACUAGGAGCUACUUUUACUCCAUCAAUAUAUUUAGAAGAAUGACUACCUAUUUCAUGCAGUUAUUGUAAGGAAACCCUAUCAUGAAGAAAACUAAAAUGAAAUGGCUCAUGAAGUUGAUGCUUAUACUGAAAUAUAAAAAUUCUGCUCAGACCUCAUCUUUUCCUUGAGAUGGCAUUAUCCAUGAGCAUCCCUGGCUAGGAAGGAGGGAGAAAAUGCUUUGGAUUUUAUGCACCUGGCUAGACUUGUUAAAAAGGAAUAUGAACUUUGCCAUAGCAGGAUGCUUCUGGAUGCCACAGAAGAACAACUUAUGGCCUUUCAUACAUAGCCAAAGGGCUGCUAGUAUCUUUAGAGUGUUCAGAAUAAAAGUCAUUUAUUCUCUUUUUGGGGUAAUAUGAACAUUUUCCUUCUUGGGACUUUCUGUUUCCCACACAAACUACCAUGUGUACCACUUUAUAGUUUGCUUUGUGUUGCUCAAUAGAAGGCAGCAGUGUGGGGAUUAAGAGCACUGGCUUUGGCACCACAGAGAUCAGGGUGUUACCCAAAGUCACUUACUGGUUGUAUACUAUGGGCAAGCUGCUUGCUCACUUUAAGUCUUUUUUGUAUUUGGAAAUUGGGGAUUGUAACGCCCACCUUGCAGUGGGAUAGAGGUUAGCUUUGGAGCAGGUAAAGUGUAUUGACAACCCAUUGCAGGAACACCAAAGGAUAGUCAAUAGUCUGCUUCUCUUUAUCAGGCUGGAGGAAGGGGGUCUACACCAUUACUUAAGAGUACAUAAUCCAAGCGUCUAGUUAAAGUAAUGGUCUCUUCAAAUCUUUGAUCUGAACCAUCUUCAUAAAAUAGUUCUUUAAUUCAUGGUCAAAAAAGGCCUUUUCAUAUACUCUCAGAGAGACAGCCCUUCUUUGGAAGCAAGAUAUAAAAUUUAACUCUAGGUCUUUUUUAACCCUGAAACUAUGUUCCCUGAAGCAAUCCAUGUGCUGCCAUCAGAUUUUAUUAGGUGGGCUAAAAUAGAGUCAGAAGGAGAUUUUCUUACAUAAUAGCUGUCCCCACGGGACCUUCAGAGAGUCAAAGUUUUCUAAUGAAGAAUUUUUGAGAUCCAUAAGUACAGGAAAAAUCCCAAUGGUCUCUCUCCCUUACUGAUUCAUUGAUAAUUCUCAAACAUUGGGCUGGCAUAACUAGAGUAAAAUUUUGCACAGUGUAAAGUGGUGGGUGUGGAUGUUUUUGGAGCCAGUCAGUCUCUGGCAGCUGACUGAGUCACACUUGUGCUUCUUUGCUGCCCACUAACAUCUUCAGAGAGCAGCCUGGGUGGGGAUGCUCAUCAGAUGUGCUCAUUUUAGGACAAACCCAUUUGAAUAUUAUAACAACAUUUGGCAAACUUCCUCUACCGAAUGGUGAACCUGGCUUACUGCCUCUGAGAACUAUUGCUUGGCUAGGAAACACAGGUCCUUUAAUGUUCUUCACAGGGUAGACCAUAUUCAAGGCCUCCCAACUAAACAUCCUGUAUAAGAGUCUUGUCCUUCAAAGAUUUUCAAGCUCCUGGCCUGGACCAGUGAGUUACAGAUGUGCAGUGAGUCCUUUUGCAACAUACAGCUAUUUUUAAUUGUGACUGGAGAAUCCAAUGUCUUACUGAGAUCCGGUGGCUAUAUGCUUUAUUAAGAAGUCAGCAAAUGUUUACUGAAUAAGCUCUGUGUAGAGGAUUCUGUACCAUAUUUAAGGAAAUGUUUUCUACUCCAUUCAUAUAUUCAGUCUUGCUAGGAAUGAAGAGGCAACAAAACCUAUAUAGAUAAAACCACUUAACACUUUUAGAUUGAUACAAAAGUGAGUACAGACAGGAUAUAUAAGGACUUUAGGGUACUGGGACAAAAAAGAAUGUGAAAGGGAGUGAUGGGUCUACACUUUUUGAAGUGAGAAGAGCAGCACGGACUGGUGAGAAAGCCUGGACAAGGGCAUGGAGGUGGAAAGGACCAGCUGGAUGACCCUUGAUGUAGAGGAGCAGGAGGGUCACAGCAGUUGUGUGGAGCUGCACGAGGAGCUGACUCAUCCAGGCAUAAAGAUGGUCAAGAUGCCAAACCAAACCCUUGUUCAUUCUGCUUUAGGGGAAAUGGAACUUGAUGUGGAUCUUGGAGCUGGGGAAGAAAGAGACACCAAGAAGAAUAACUGGUGGUAGAGGAAUGUUACAGUCAGAUGAGGAAUUUGGAUUUUAAUCUACAGUCAGAAAAGAAGAAGUGUAGAAUCCUAAACUAAGAAAUGAGAUGAAGAAAUGAUGAGUGAGAGUGAUUAUUUUAGAUGCUUAAAAGCAUUGUUACCUGAAAAUGGCCUGAAGGAAAAGUGACCUAUUUUUGGGGGAUCAGAGAGGAGAUGAGGGCCAUGUUCUCAAGGCCCAUGGGGAACUCCUGAAAAUAAAGAGGCCAAGUGAAGAGAUGCUGGGGGAAAACUAGUGGAAUUCAGUGACUAAAUGGGGAGUAAAGGGCAAAAGGAAAAUUUAAAAUGAUUCUGAUGCUAGGGCCUGAGGAAAGGGUCUCAGAGACAGGAAAUGGAAAAGAAAACAGAUACUGGAGUGGCAGAUAUUUUUGGUAAUGAUUGGAUAUCCAGUGAUUAGGGGUGUGUGUGUGUGUGUGUGUGUGUGUGUGUGUGCGCGCGCGCGCAUGCACAUGUGUUUGUGGGUGUGUAUGUAAAAGGAAUGUAUACUUACAUGUGUAACUAGGUCACCAUGCUGUACAGUAGAAAAAAAAUUGUUUUGGGGAAAUAGCAAUAAAAAAUAUUAAAAAAAGAAGUAAAACCCCCUUUUCCCUAAUGUUACCUAACAGUUUAUAACUUUCAUUCAGUUACCUAGUUCUUUAUUAAUGUACUUAUUAAGGGCCUAUAUAUGUGUAAGGAUUACAAUACAACUAUGUGUAAAGUUUACAAUAAGGAAACAAAGUUCUGUCACUGAAUGGGAAAUGGUUUAAACCUAAAAUGCGACAUUAUUUAAAGUGUACAUUUUCAUUUUUUAUAUUAAUUUUCUAUUGUUUCUAAUUCUUAGGCUACAGACAUAACAGUGCUUUCAUCAGCAAUAGAUGUGCCAUCUUGACACAGCUUAUAAUCAAGUAAUUUCUCUCAGUGUACUUGGAUAUCUUCUUUUUUCUCAAAUGGCAUUUAUACAUUUCAAAGUCAUCAGUGAAUAAGAUGGCUUUUGGUUACAGCAGGUUUAAAUUUCCACUCAGAUGAGCCCUGAUCAAAAACCAUGUGAUUACCUGGAAAGGAUACAUGUCUAUGUGCAUAUUCUGUGCCUCACUCAGGUGUUGGCUUUCUGGCCAUGGUCUUGGAACUACUAUCAAUUAUACUGCAGAUUCCUACUUGUUUGGAGUUGUGAGGAGAAAGGAAAAUUCACACUUAUUUUGCCAAAGCCCUGGGCAGGAAUUCGAUGGCUAUAGAAUCUGUUGACCGUCAGUUCCAGUAGGAUGGAAACCUGUGGGGAGUUGACCAGAAGUACUGAUCUCUUACAUCAUCUCCCAUCUUUCAUGUAACUGAUACCUAAGGAGCUGGAGAGCCCAGGCUCUCAGUCUCAGAAUUGAGUUCAUCUGUUAAAUACACCAAAAGGAAGUCAAGUUUUAAAAACAUGGUUGGAUUAUUUCUUAAAUGUUAAUGUGACACACACACACACAAAAGCACAAACAAUGGAAAUUGAUAUAAAAAAAUCAUUUCUUCAUUAAGACCUGAAAACCUAUUUUGAAGAAAAGUAGUCAUGGAUUAGAAAAUAUCUCCUUCACAGUGGUUAAAGGAAAAAGUACCUAAAGGAAUAAACAAACAUAUGAAAGCCUCUUAAUAUACCAAGGUAUUACUAUAUUUAUUUCUGACCUUUGGCUACUGAGAAAACAUGAAGGACGACAAUUCUAUAGCUAUUCUAUAUAAUGGCAGAUGUUCCUCUUAUUCAAGGAAACAAAAAUCCUUUUAUGACAUUUCACUAAAUGUCUAUGCAACCAAAGAGCAUUUUAUGUGUUCUUUUUAGAUAGUCUUGUUCACUAGUCCUUACAACGAUAAAUAAGACCUUUUCUUAAGUAGUUCACCUUGUGCGUUAGUGUUUUGAAUACUUUUUUAAAGAUGGAUUCAGUGUUAGUUUUGUAGUACCUAGUAGAGUGGAAUAAUUAUAUACAAUUCUUCUAUCAGUCCUGUAUUUCUACUCCCUUUUCUAAAAUAUAUUUAAGUUAAUGGCACAAUUUUGUUCAAUGUUCAGUGUAUAACCUCACUGCUGAUUUUUUUUCACAAUGGUACCACAAUGGCUCCUCAUAUCUAAAGUCUUUACAGUAUAAUCCAUUCUCUACUAUCACAUGGUUUUCCUUUUGUAAACAGAAAUUUGGCUUUCACAAAGCAAUUUCUGCCAAAUUAUAAAAGUGCUAAUGAUGCCCAAUUUAGGACAUAACAAUUUACUACUGUCCUUGUUUGAGCCUUUCUCUUUUUUAAUUUUUCUAACUCUUUACACUAAGAAUAUUCUUUCCUGGAAAGCUGUGGGCAGGGUUGAUUUCAUAACAGGUUACAAGUUGAGUUUUGUUUUGUUGUUUUUUUUUUCCACUGCUACUGAUACUAGAAUUUUGGUUAACCUAUCAAGUUAAGCAGUGUACUUUGUACUUGACAUUUUUCUCGCUUGAGCAAUUGACUCCAACUGUUCUACUUCCACUAUUUUGCUUUUCUCACUGUGCUCCCUCAAUUUUCUUUCUAUAAAAUAUUCUUUAUACUCCUAUGUAACUAUAUUUUCUCACUUAUCAAUCUGAUCCUUUUUAUGCAAUUAAAAUAUUGCCUGAAUAUAUUUUAAUUCAGUAUUUAGUUGCAUUUACAUCACUUAUCCCAUCAUUUGGUUGAGGACUUGCAUAGAGCACAUACAUCUAUCAAACUGACUCAUAUUGACUGUGAAUAAACUGAAGUCCAAAUUGCAAGUUGAUUUGUCUAUAGCUUUGUGUAAGCAUGACACUGGACAAGACUGCCAUUCUUCAACUCUGUUUCCUCUUCACUUAUGGAGGAAGGCUUGAAGACAAUAAGUGCGUUGUGCUAGCUUUGUUAGUUUUUUUUUUUUUUUUUUUUUUUUUUUUAGUUGUCUUUAAGGACUUUCAUUCACCCUUUAGGGUGAUAAGUAUAAUAUCUUAUUUUCUGGUCUUAUUCUUGAUAUUUUUAUUUUCUUCCAGUUUGUGUAUCUGUUCUCCAUUUUAAAAAUAAUAAUUUAUGAGUUAUCUUUUGAAUACACAGAGCUUAAGAUAUGUUUUUUAACAAGGGGAUCUGGAAUAAAAGAU